rnacentral:rRNA from 1 species
UACCUGCAGCUCAAGUGGUGACCGCUAUUAUUGGGCCUAAAACGUUCGUAGCCGGUUUGGUAAAUGCCUGGGUAAAUCGUGUAGCUUAACUAUACGAAUUCCGGGUAGACUGCCAAACUUGAGACCGGGAGAAGCUAGAGGUACUCCUGGGGUAGAGAUGAAAUUCUGUAAUCCUAAGGGGACCACCAGUGGCGAAGGCGUCUAGCUAGAACGGGUUUGACGGUGAGGAACGAAGCCCUGGGGCGCAAACCGGAUUAGAUACCCGGGUAGUCCAGGGUGUAAACGCUGCUUGCUUGAUGUUAGUUGGGCUCCGAGCCCAAUUAGUGUCGGAGAGAAGUUGUUAAGCAAGCUGCCUGGGAAGUACGAUCGCAAGAUUGAAACUUAAAGGAAUUGGCGGGGGGGCACAGCAACGGGUGGAGCGUGCGGUUU